UGGUUUCGCUCCUUUUUGCAAAUUCUCUUCUGAUGUGACGGUGUGUGAGAGUGACGCAUGCUUUGAAGCUUUUUUCCCUUCUCAAACUCUCUGAAACCUGAGAGUGGAGAGAGCCACAGCUUUUAACAAUGAAGGUGCUUGUGUGGCUUGGCAUUGUAAUAAAGCUUGUUGUUCUGUCAAGCAAUGCCUCUGAAGCGGUUGAGCAUCAUUACGUGAAUGCAAGUGAUCUCAACUUGUUGGAGGCACACGAAGCUGAAGCGUCCUUAGCUGGAAGGGGUGCCUACACUCUUAUGGUACCACUUACCCUUAUUCAAACUGCUGCUGCUAAAGGAGCAGUUUGUUUGGAUGGAUCAUUGCCUGGUUACCAUUUACAUCGAGGAUAUGGAUCAGGAGCAAAUAGCUGGAUCGUUAAUUUAGAGGGUGGAGGAUGGUGUAAUGAUGUCAGGACAUGCAUUUAUCGUAAGAAAACUCGGCGCGGAUCUUCAACAUUCAUGGAAAAGGAGAUACCUUUUACAGGAAUAUUAAGCAAUAAGGCUGAACAAAAUCCAGAUUUUUUCAACUGGAACAGAGUGAAGAUUCGUUAUUGUGAUGGUGCCUCUUUCGCUGGGGACAGUGAACAUAAGGCUGCACGUCUGCAAUUCCGAGGACAGCGCAUUUGGAUGGCUGCAAUGGAAGAUCUGAUGUCGAAGGGAAUGCGUUUUGCUCGGCAGGCUCUACUUUCUGGAUGCUCAGCUGGUGGUCUGGCUACCAUCAUACACUGCGAUGAAUUCCGAGGUCUGUUUCCAAGGAGUACAAAAGUGAAGUGUCUCAGUGAUGCUGGGCUAUUUCUUGACGCGACCGACGUAUCUGGUGGACAUACACUCAGGGAUUUUUUCAGUGGUGUUGUAGGGUUGCAGGGAGUGCAGAAGAAUCUGCCGCGUACUUGUACCAAUCACCUUGAUCCCACAUCGUGCUUCUUCCCUCAGAACUUGAUUGCCGGUAUAAGAACCCCACUCUUCAUUCUCAACACUGCCUAUGAUUCAUGGCAGAUCCAGUCAAGCUUAGCUCCAACGACAGCAGACCCAAGUGGCAAUUGGCACGAUUGUAGAAAAGAUUAUUAUAGGUGUUCUGGUUCACAGAUCCAGUUUCUACAAGGUUUCAGGAAUGAAAUGUUGAAUUCUAUGAAAGGCUUCUCAAGAUCAAAUCAGAAUGGAAUGUUUAUCAAUUCAUGUUUUGCUCACUGCCAAUCCGAGAGGCAGGAUACAUGGUUUGCGGACAAUUCUCCUGUCAUUAGGGAAAAGGCAAUUGCUCUGGCAGUUGGAGACUGGUUUUUCAACCGUGCUGUCGUUAAGGACAUCGAUUGUGCUUACCCUUGUGAUAAUACAUGCCACAAUCUGAUCUUCAGAUGAAGCAAUUUUUUAUCAAAUUGUUCCAAAUUCAUUCACCACAUUCAUUUGGGCCUCUUCUCAUCAAGAAUCAGGAUAUAUAUUUUUCACCUAAAAUUAUUAUACUAGGCAAUUAAAGGGGGAGAAAAAAAGGUUGCUGAAAAGUGCAACAAGGUACCCACCCCCUUGUUCUCUCCUUGCCGACAUAUAACUCAUCCCGACGAGAAGUUUGAAGACAUUCAUCGACGGACGAGCUAUACACCGGCCAAACUCAGCAAGAACAAAGAUUAUUCUUGGAACACAUUAAAUAUACUUAAGAAAUUUGCAAGGAUUCUCAUAAAAUAUUUUUGGUUAUCCAAUAUUUUUUUAGGUGAUGGAGAGGCAAUAAAACAUUAGAAUUAGGGACAGUUUGCAUAAUGUAACUUGGUAGUGAUGAUUGAACGAGAUCAUCUCA